rnacentral:lncRNA from 1 species
CGAUGGGACACACGGGGCAUAUUCUGGAGCAGCCAAGUCCAUCCCGAGAGAGAAUGCGGGUGUCUGUGUGUGUGAUGUGUGUGAGACUGUGUGUGUGUGUGCAUGUGCAUACAUGUGUAAAGUGUACAGUUGGCCCUUGGUGUGUGUGUGAUUGUGCAUAUGUGUGUAAAGUGUACAGUUGGCCCUGUGUGUGAUUGUGUGUGCAUAUGUGUGUAAAGUACAGUUGGCCCUUUGUGUGUGUGAGAUUGUGUGUGCAUACGUGUGUAAAGUGUACAGUUGGCCCUUGGUAUCUGCAGGUUCCAUAUCCAUCAUUUCAACCAAUCUCGAGUUGAAAAUAAUUGGGGAAGAAAAGGAUGGCUGCGUCUGUACACUGUAUAACAACUAUUUACAUAGCAUUUACAUCGUAUUAGGUACUGCAAGUAAUCUAGGGAUGAUUUAAAGUACGUG